rnacentral:rRNA from 1 species
GGGUCAGUAGGUUGGUCGUGCCACCGGUACGUACUGGUCUCACUGAUUCCUCCUUCCUGAAGAACCGUAAUGCCAUUAAUAUGGUGUUGCGGGGAAACAGGACUGUUACUUUGAAAAAAUUAGAGUGUUUAAAGCAAGCUAACGCUUGAAUACAUUAGCAUGGAAUAAUGAAAUAGGACGAUCGAUCCUAUUUUGUUGGUUUCUAGGAUUGACGCA